rnacentral:rRNA from 1 species
CCUACGGGGGGCUGCAGUAAGGAAUAUUGCGCAAUGGGCGAAAGCCUGACGCAGCGACGCCGCGUGGGGGAUGAAGGUCUUCGGAUUGUAAACCCCUUUCGGGAGGGAAGAUGGAGCGAGCAAUCGUUCGGACGGUACCUCCAGAAGCAGCCACGGCCAACUUCGUGCCAGCAGCCGCGGUACUACGAAGGUGGCAAGCGUGGUUCGGAUUCACUGGGCGUACAGGGUGGCUGGGCGGUUUGGUAAGCCUUACAGCGUCGGGCCCGACCCGGAAAGCGCAGAGGGUACUGCCAGGCUAGAGGGUGGGAGAGGAGCGCGGAAUUCCCGGUGUAGCGGUGAAAUGCGUAGAGAGCGGGAGGAAGGCCGGUGGCGAAGGCGGCGCUCUGGAACAUACCUGACGCUGAGACACGAAAGCGUGGGGAGCAAACAGGAUUAGAUACCCCUGUAGUC